UACGGGGGGAGCAAGCGUUGUUCGGAUUUACUGGGCGUAAAGGGCGCGUAGGCGGUCAGCACAAGUCAGUUGUGAAAUCUCCGGGCUUAACUCGGAAAGGUCAACUGAUACUGUGCGACUAGAGUGCAGAAGGGGCAACUGGAAUUCUCGGUGUAGCGGUGAAAUGCGUAGAUAUCGGGAGGAACACCAGAGGCGAAGGCGGCGAACUGGACAGUAACUGACACUCAACUGCGAAAGCGUGGGGAGCAAACAGG
rnacentral:rRNA from 1 species